rnacentral:lncRNA from 1 species
UGACAAUUUCCAAAAUUAGAUUUUUUUUAAGUUUGCCUUUAAACUUGUUUUUUUUUAAUAUUUAUUACCAUUAAUCCAUAUUUUUAUUUGAAAGGGACUUUGCUUAUUUUUUAUUGUAGUUCAUUAUCUAACAGGAGGUUGGUUUUAAAUUGUUUUCUGAAACUGCAUCCCAACUUUUACUGUAAACUACUGAAGGGCCUCACAGUCCCAGCAAACGAGGGCAAGUGUCAUUUCGACAGCAGAGUUGGAAUGGAAGCAAAGGGCGGUGAAUUCUGGGAGCUGCUGUCUCUGGAGAUGUGCUCUGCGCAUGUGUGCAGAGGGAGACACUGGGGACACCAGACACGCUGGCUGCACCAGCCCUCGCUCCCCACAUCCUCCUCAAGAAGGCAGAGCGCCUGGGCAGGUUCCUCUCUUUCCACCCAACCUCCCAUCCUUCCGGGGCUCAGCGACUCUGACUCCCACACUCUUCUGGGAAGCAGCGCUUUUCGUGGGUCACCAUGGCAGCCGCAUCCGUGCGUCCACAGGGUCACUGGGUACGGGCGUCUGUCACCGUGAGGUGGACUCAAAGAUGGAUUUCAGGCUCUCGCGGUGCAGGAACCUGGACUAUUUUUGGCCUAUGCAACAGUAACACCUGAUUGCCUGGAAACUUCAGAGAGUUUCUCCAAGUGAUUUUUGUGCAUCACCUGCACACAACCCACCUGGGCAUCACCGAUAUUUAAGAUCCAGGUGGGAGCCCCAGGACCCUUCCUUGGGAGAACGGGGAAGCCUUCUGGCUGUGAGAUAUCGCUUUCCCACCUGGCUGUCCUGCUCUUGCCAGUCCUAGCCUCUCAUUCUGGCAUCCUAACGCCCUCACCCUCACCUGCAUUGCUACAAAGAUGGUUCCACAGUAAGCUCUCUAGCUUACCUUUAAACCUGACUGCAUUCUGCCUACAUUUCCUUCACCUCAACUCCCUUGCUCCAAGUUACACAGGCAUUUUCAGUUGUAUCCUGUUUAAUUAAUGGAGAUGUUUUGAGCACAC